rnacentral:rRNA from 1 species
CAAGCUGUAAAUUAUGCAUGCUAGAUGUUUUGGACCCUCGUGGUCUGGAGUGUCGUAAUCUAACGAGUUAAGCAUGCCGCCUGGGUAGUAUAUUCGCAAGAAUGAAACUCAAAGGGAUAGGCGGGGGAACACACAAGCAGUGGAUUAUCUAGAUUAAUUGGAUACUAAGCCAAAAAUCUCACCUAAACUUGACAUGUACUAUGUCCUAUGUGAAAGCAUAGUAGUCCAAGCAAUUGGGCGUGGUACACAGAUGG